rnacentral:rRNA from 1 species
UACGGAAGGGGCAAGCGUUGUUCGGAAUUAUUGGGCGUAAAGGGCGCGCAGGCGGCCUUGUAUGUCUGCUGUAAAAGCACACAGCUCAACUGUGUAAGGUCAGUGGAAACUGCAAGGCUUGAGGUUGGGAGAGGCUGGUGGAAUUCCCUGUGUAGCGGUGAAAUGCGUAGAUAUAGGGGAGAACACUCGUGGCGAAGGCGGCCAGCUGGACCAGACCUGACGCUGAGGCGCGAUAGCGUGGGGAGCAAACAGG